GAGGGCUGUCGCUGACUUUUUGAGACACAAAAGUCGUGCACGCCGGAGUGCGUCCUCUCACAUAAAAUCCAUCUCACCCUUUUGUGCACCACCGCGUGGGCACCCUUUGGGAUCGAAUCGAUCCAGGAGGGGGCUUGCGUUUUCACACACACCCCUUUUAAAAAGUGUAGAAUGACCCCACUUUGCUAUACGCAAUCAAUACAACUUUCAACAACGGAUCUCUUGGCUCUCGCAUCGAUGAAGAACGCAGCGAAAUGCGAUACGUAAUGUGAAUUGCAGAAUUCAGUGAAUCAUCGAAUCUUUGAACGCACCUUGCGCCCCUUGGUAUUCCGAGGGGCACACCCGUUUGAGUGUCGUGAAAAUCUCAACCUUCUCGGUUUUCUUCUGGACACCGAAGGAGGCUUGGACUUUGGAGGCCUUUGCUGGCAUCUCUCUCUUCUUGAGAGCCAGCUCCUCUUAAACGAAUUAGCGGGGUCCUCUUUGCCGAUCCUCGACAUGUGAUAAGAUGUUUCCAUGACUUGGUUUCUGGCUCUGUUGCCUUUGGGACCCGCUUCUAACCGUCUCGACGAGACGACGUUUGGGCGCGUCUCCCUUCUCGGGAGACACUCUCAACCCCACG
rnacentral:rRNA from 1 species